GGACUGUGACGAUUUGUGUGAAAGGUCUCGUUCGUCGUAAUUGGCUCUUUGGGCCUUGCCGACCAUCCUGAUAUAUCACCACCCAUAUUCUGAGUCC